CGGCAAGACGGAAAGACCCCGUGAACCUUUACUAUAGCUUGACACUGAACACUGGUCCUUGAUGUGUAGGAUAGGUGGGAGGCUUUGAAGCGUGGACGCCAGUCUGCGUGGAGCCGUCCUUGAAAUACCACCCUUUAAUGGCUGGUGUUCUAACGUAGACCCGUAAUCCGGGUUGCGGACAGUGUCUGGUGGGUAGUUUGACUGGGGCGGUCUCCUCCCAAAGAGUAACGGAGGAGCACGAAGGUUAGCUAAUCCUGGUCGGACAUCAG
rnacentral:rRNA from 1 species